rnacentral:tRNA from 1 species
GCGGAUGUGGUGGAAUUGGUAGACACGCAAGAUUUAGGUUCUUGUGAUCAAAAAUCGUGGGGGUUCGAGUCCCCCCAUCCGCACCA